rnacentral:pre_miRNA from 1 species
CAUAUACUCCCUCCGUCCCAAAAUAAGUGACUCAAAAAUGACUCAAUUUUACAAUAAUUUUAGUAUAAAGUUAAGUCAUUUUUGAGUCACUUAUUUUGGGACGGAGGAAGUAGUUA